rnacentral:rRNA from 1 species
UACGUAGGGGGCAAGCGUUGUCCGGAUUUAUUGGGCGUAAAGGGCGCGUAGGCGGUUUCUUAAGUUUGGAGUGACAGUGGGUGGCUUAACUACCCAAGGCCUUUGAAAACUGGGGAACUUGAGGACCAGAGAGGGACAUAGAAUUCCGGGUGGAGUGGUGAAAUGCGUAGAUAUCCGGAGGAAUACCAAAGGCGAAGGCAGUGUCCUGGAGGGUGACUGACGCUGAGGCGCGAAAGCUAGGGGAGCGAACAGG